UCAUAAAUCCACAAUUCAUCGGAUCUCGACAAACACGCCGCAAAAGAAGAUUACAUCGGAUAGAUCUCCAUGAAGAUCAUGGAGAACUUUGUAUUGAAGAUCCAAGAGAGAGAAGAAGUCAUCUAGCUACUAGCUAUGGACCUGAAGGUCUAUGGUGAACUACUCACGCAUCAUCGGAGAGGUCAUGGUGUUGAUGAAGAAGCCCUCCGUAUCCGAAUCCCCC
rnacentral:lncRNA from 1 species